GUGGUCUACUGCAGUCGACGGCAGCCGGACUUCGGUCUGGUGGCGAGUGGCGAACGGGUGAGUAAUGUAUCGGAACGUGCCCAGUAGCGGGGGAUAACUACGCGAAAGCGUAGCUGAUACCGCAUACGCCCUACGGGGGAAAGCAGGGGAUCGCAAGACCUUGCACUAUUGGAGCGGCCGAUAUCGGAUUAGCUAGUUGGUGGGGUAACGGCUCACCAAGGCGACGAUCCGUAGCUGGUUUGAGAGGACGACCAGCCACACUGGGACUGAGACACGGCCCAGACUCCUACGGGAGGCAGCAGUGGGGAAUUUUGGACAAUGGGGGAAACCCUGAUCCAGCCAUCCCGCGUGUGCGAUGAAGGCCUUCGGGUUGUAAAGCACUUUUGGCAGGAAAGAAACGUCGUGGGUUAAUACCCCGCGAAACUGACGGUACCUGCAGAAUAAGCACCGGCUAACUACGUGCCAGCAGCCGCGGUAAUACGUAGGGUGCAAGCGUUAAUCGGAAUUACUGGGCGUAAAGCGUGCGCAGGCGGUUCGGAAAGAAAGAUGUGAAAUCCCAGAGCUUAACUUUGGAACUGCAUUUUUAACUACCGGGCUAGAGUGUGUCAGAGGGAGGUGGAAUUCCGCGUGUAGCAGUGAAAUGCGUAGAUAUGCGGAGGAACACCGAUGGCGAAGGCAGCCUCCUGGGAUAACACUGACGCUCAUGCACGAAAGCGUGAGGAGCAAACAGGAUUAGAUACCCUGGUAGUCCACGCCCUAAACGAUGUCAACUAGCUGUUGGAGCCUUCAGGCCUUGAUAGCGCAGCUCACGCGUGAAGUUGACCGCCUGGGAGUACGGUCGCCAGAUUAAACUCACAGGAAUUGACGGGACCCGCACAAGCGUGGAUGAUGU
rnacentral:rRNA from 1 species